rnacentral:rRNA from 1 species
AACGAACGCUGGCGGCAUGCUUAACACAUGCAAGUUGAACGAAUCAUUUGGAGCUUGCUUCAAAUAAAUUAGUAGCAAACGGGUGAGUAACACGUAGGAAUCUACCCAUCAGUACGGAAUAACUUUUGGAAACAAAAGCUAAUACCGUAUAUUCUCUCUGGAGGAAAGAUUUAUCGCUGAUGGAUGAGCCUGCGUCAGAUUAGGUAGUUGGUAGGGUAAUGGCUUACCAAGCCGACGAUCUGUAGCUGGUCUGAGAGGAUGAUCAGCCACACUGGGACUGAGACACGGCCCAGACUCCUACGGGAGGCAGCAGUGGGGAAUAUUGGACAAUGGGCGAAAGCCUGAUCCAGCAAUGCCGCGUGAAUGAUGAAGGCCUUAGGGUUGUAAAGUUCUUUUAGUAGGGAAGAUAAUGACGGUACUACAGAAAAGUACCCGGCUAACUCCGUG